GAUGAACGCUAGCGGCAGGCUUAACACAUGCAAGUCGAGGGGUAUGCUUCUUCGGAAGCAGAGACCGGCGCACGGGUGCGUAACGCGUAUGCAAUCUACCUUUUACAGAGGGAUAGCCCAGAGAAAUUUGGAUUAAUACCUCAUAGUAUUAUAGAAUGGCAUCAUUUUAUAAUUAAAGUCACAACGGUAAAAGAUGAGCAUGCGUCCCAUUAGCUAGUUGGAAGGUAACGGCUUACCAAGGCUACGAUGGGUAGGGGUCCUGAGAGGGAGACUCCCCCACACUGGUACUGAGACACGGACCAGACUCCUACGGGAGGGCAGCAGUGAGGAAUAUUGGACAAUGGGCGCAAGCCUGAUCCAGCCAUGCCGCGU
rnacentral:rRNA from 1 species